GAUGAACGCUGGCGGCGUGCCUAAUACAUGCAAGUCGAGCGAACAGAUGAGGAGCUUGCUCCUCUGACGUUAGCGGCGGACGGGUGAGUAACACGUGGAUAACCUACCUAUAAGACUGGGAUAACUUCGGGAAACCGGAGCUAAUACCGGAUAAUAUAUUGAACCGCAUGGUUCAAUAGUGAAAGACGGUUUUGCUGUCACUUAUAGAUGGAUCCGCGCCGCAUUAGCUAGUUGGUAAGGUAACGGCUUACCAAGGCAACGAUGCGUAGCCGACCUGAGAGGGGGAUCGGCCACAGUGGAACUGAGACACGUUCCAGACUCCUACGGGAGGCAGCAGUAGGGAAUCUUCCGCAAUGGGCGAAAGCCUGACGGAGCAGCGCCGCGUGAGUGAUGAAGGUCUUCGGAUCGUAAAACUCUUUUAUUAGGGAAGAACAAAUGUGUAAGUAACUAUGCACGUCUGGAGGGUACCUAAUCAGAAAGCCAGGGCAAACUACGUG
rnacentral:rRNA from 1 species